rnacentral:rRNA from 1 species
UACGUAGGGCGCAAGCGUUAUCCGGAAUUAUUGGGCGUAAAGAGCCCGUAGGCGGUUUGUCGCGUCUGCCGUGAAAGUCCGGGGCUCAACUCCGGAUCUGCGGUGGGUACGGGCAGACUAGAGUGAUGUAGGGGAGACUGGAAUUCCUGGUGUAGCGGUGAAAUGCGCAGAUAUCAGGAGGAACACCGAUGGCGAAGGCAGGUCUCUGGGCCAUAACUGACGCUGAGAAGCGAAAGCAUGGGGAGCGAACAGG